rnacentral:lncRNA from 1 species
GGGCCACACCAAUGGCAUAUGGAAGUUCCCAGGCUAGGGGUCGAAUCAGAGCUACAUCUGCUGGCCUACACCACAGCCACAACACCACCAGAUCCUUAACUCACUGGGCAAGGCCAGGGACUGAACCUGCUUCCUCAUGGAUCUAAUCAGGUUCGUAAACCGCUGAGCCAUGAUGGGAACUCCCUAUGAUGCAUUUUAACAAAGACCUCAGCUGAUCCCCAGGGGAACUCUAGAGUUGGAAUAGCCUUCGGAAUUGUCCCAAUUUGAGGCAAGGAUGUUGACUGUUCUUGUGGUGGCAUAGACUAGCCAUUCGAAAGGGCCCAUCUCUGUGGAUGGGGACACAGCUUUGGGCAUGGCGGCACUCCCUUGCACCAAGGGCAACGUUCCUGGACACUGGAGGAGUGUUUUCCCCUGGGAUGGGGCCAUCUAGGUACACAAACUCUUUGCUGUUAUUUUUGAAACACUUGUAAGCUCUGUAAUUGUUUUUAAUUAUGGACUUCUGAAUAGCGUUUCAUUGAUGCAACACCAGUCAGAGGCUACCGUGGGGGAUCCAUCAUCUUCUACAAAUGUUAUGAUCACAAAGCAUAUAUAAUAGCUAUCCUGCUUUUCUUGGUACCAUUUUAUAAAAUCUUCAUAAGCAUCGUUUAUCCUGUGGUUGAAAGACUCAGCAUACAAACAAAUCAAAAAGCGGAAUGUAUUUGUUAAUCCAAUCUAAGAGUACUUGCUUGGUGGAAGGUUUGCAGGAGCUGAUGAUGAGCUUGGAAAGCCAUGGUCUCACUGCUGCCUUAGCCGUGGGUGGCGUGUGGGGUAUAGAAGGAAGGAAGGAAGAAUUCUGGUUUCCUUUUUAAUCAUAUGUCUGAUGGGUUCCAGCAAAGAUCUUAAGUUCUUUUUGAUUUUUCUCUUUUCCUGUUAGAAUCACCUAGCUGUCAUCCUUCUGAGAGUUUGCUAAGGAGCAGACUGGCUGAGGGUGGAGGGAGCUGGGCAUCAACCAGGGGGGCUGCUUAAGUCACCAGGGUCCCAACUGUCUGUCUUCUGCAAUCUGAGUGUUGCCAGUCUAUUUCCCAAAAGAUGUUAAGUUUUAAUAGCCAAUUUCUCUACAUUAGAUUUGCAAAAUGCCUUUCUCUGCCAGAUACUUAACUUUCUCUAAAUAGUCUAAUUGAAAAAAGGUAACUAUAAUGCAAAUAGAUCAACUUGCAUUUUCUGCCCUUUUACCAAUUUUGGCUGAAACUCAGCAAGGCACAUCAUCCCUUAACAAUUUCUGUUUUAAAAUUCCUGUUCUGCAUAAAGGAGAGAAGGGCAAUGAAAAGGCAGUUUUUGUCUGUGCUCAAAGCUUGUCUGAAUCCAGGGCAAAUUUUCAAUAUAAUAAUUACCCAAAUUUGGAAGGCGCUUUCAGCCUCAUAAAACUGGUUUGUCUUAUUCAGAUGGAACUUUUCCUGAUAUCUAAGCCUAUGAAAACUUUCUAUUUAGAGAGAGAGAGAGAAAGAAAAAUGCAUUUGGAAAAACUGACACGAAAAUAGAGCUGGAUUUACAUUUUCGUUCAGAGAUAAAGCAGCCCAGCUUUGCAUCUUUGAUAACUGCAUCCCCUGUGAAAAUUAAUUUUAAAAAUAAGCUUCAUGGUUUUUAUGAUAAAAAAAGAAUAAUAGGAGUUCCCAUCAUGGCACAGUGGUUAAUGAAUCUGACUAGGAACCAUGAGGUUGUGGGUUCGAUACCUGGCCUUGCUAGUGGGUUAAGGAUCCGGCAUUGCUGUGAGCUGUGGUGUAGGUCGCAGACGCGGCUUGGAUCCCGCAUUGCUGUGGCUCUGGCAUAGGCGGGCGGCAACAGCUCUGAUUAGCCCCUAGCCUGGGAACCUCCAUAUGCCAAGGGAGCGGCCCUUGAAAAGGCAAAAAGACAAAAAAAAAAAAAAAAAAAAAAAAAAAGGGAUAAUAGACGUUCAACAUCUAGAAAGCAUGUAAAAUAUUAAAAAGGAUAGAUAAGUAACCAAAAUUGCAUAUUAUCCCAUGACCCAGGCAUACCCCACCAUGCAGAGAAUGGCAUUAUUAAUGUGUUUUGGUCUACUCUGCACGUGCCUCUGUGUAUGCACCUGUGUGUGUGUACUUGUAUGUAUACAUACUCCAUAAUUGCUAUAGCUGUACAGAGAAGGGCUCACCUGGUGGUUGGGGGCAGGGGGAGGCUGAUGUCUAGUCAUAUUCCCUCUCAUCCAGCUGAUUAGGCCACAGGGCAGAGGUAUGACAUCCCUUUCCACUGCUGUCCUCACAUUUGUGAGCCACUUUCUUCUCUUUUUUUUCUUAAUCCUUGAAGGCUUUUCCCUGCAUGCUUUCAGCUUUUGACCCAGGCCACACCUCUCCCCUUUUGGAACAGUCUCUAGCCUCGACUUUCAUGACAAUAAACCCUCCUGAGCUUUCUCCUCCCUCUGAGCCCCUCGCUGCCAAUGCAUCAGACUGUUCUCCCCUAUUUGUGAAAGUUGUUGCUACUGAAAGCUCAGUCCUAGGAUUUCCUCCUGCCCUCACUGUCCAUACUUACCUGUCCAAGUUUUAGUUUUCCUAAGGGGCCCUAUGCUCCCUAACCUCCAAGUCUUCCCUCCUGUGAUGUCUCCUCCAGCUCUAUGCAUUCCUGUUGUUCCCAUAUACUUGCUUCAUGAUGAUUCUUACUUAUCUUGACAAUGUCCCUUUUAAUGUUACUGUGUUUGGAAAGUCUUUGCUGACACCCCAAUCUGGUGUGCUAUUUCUAUGUGCCCGUAACACUCUGUCCAUUUCCUUGGUCUCGCACUCAUGGCACUGUGUGAUAAUUAGCUAUUUAUUUGUCAGUAUGUCUUAUUAAAUUGUAAGCCUGGAGAUGGUACUUAUUAGUACUUACUACCUCCCCAGCUCCUAGCAUGUCUUGGAACGUGGUAGUCUCACAAGAUUAUCAAGUAAGGAGAUGCUAACCAAUCAUUAACCCCGUUAUUUGUGGUGCACUGGGUAGUAUAAUCAGUGAGAGUGGGACGAGGAAAUCUACCAGCUGACUUCUUUCAUCAUACAUGUCUUAGUCCAUUUGGGCGGUUAUAACAGAAUAUCACAGACUAGGUUGUUUAAACAAUAGGAAUUUAUUUCUCACAGUUCUGGAGGGAGAACUGAGAGUCUGAGAUCAGGGGGCCAGUAUGUUUGGUUCUUGGUAAGGGCCUUCCUCCUGGUCAUGCCCUCAAAUGGCCCAGCUUGGUGCAUACAGAGAGAGAGGGAUGCAGACAGACAAAGAGAGAAAGAGAGCAAUCCGUCUAGUAUCUCUUUCACUUUUCAUAAGGACAUUGGUCCCAACAUGAAGACCUUACCCUCACCACUUAAUCUAACCCUAAUUAUCUCCCAACACAAUCCCAUUGGAGAUUAGGGUUCCAACAUAUGAAUUUGGGGGCAACACAAACAUUCAGUCCAUGGCAAUAUGGUAGACAUGAUUAAAAAUGUAAAUCUUCUCUGAGGACAAAAUAAGGUAAUUGGUCUUGCCUGCAACUCGAGGGUUUAGAUCACUUUUAAGUGCUAAAUAGAGAGGGACUUUGAAUGCAAGAACCAGCCAUGGAAUGAACUUGUAACAUUCUCCCCUCCCCCCCCCCAGUAGGUCUUUGCAUAUUGGACAAGUGUUUCAGAGGCCUCCAUACUGAUACAGGUUCAGAGAGCAUUGACUUAAUUGGUGUUGCUAACUAUGAGUUAACAAGAGUUAACAAGAAUUAAUGAAUCAGGGCACUAUUGCCCCAAGGCUGGAGUUGGGAGCUUAAGGGGAGGUAAAAAUUGAUGGUCGUGGAAUAGGUAAAAUUGAUUUACAGUUGUUUGAAGCCACACAGACAUAUGUUUAUUUUCUAUUUUUUAUUUUGCUUUUUAGGGCUGCACCUGUGGCAUAUGGAGAGUCCCAGGCUAGGGGUUCAAUCAGAGCUAUGGUUGCUGGCCUAAGCCAUAGCCACAGCAAUGCCAGAUCCAAGCUACGUCUGCGACCCACACCACAGCUCAUGGCAACGCUGGCUCCUUAACCCACUGAGCAGGGCCAGGGAUCAAACACACAACUUCAUGGUUCCCAGUCGGAUUCGUUUCCACUGCACCACGACGGGAACUCCAGACCUAUGUUUACGUGUUUGUGUUUGUUUACUCAUUUCUUUGAUGAAUUUAUAAAUUAUUAGGUUUGUUUCUCCCAGAAGAUGUUGAGGUUGCUUACAGCAACAUUCAUUUUGCAGCAGGAUAAUGAAGACCUAGAUGAGAAAAUUAGAAUAAAGUUAGCACACAAGGUCACAUGCUCCAAGAACCUGCAUCAUUUGGCUCUGAACUUCCUAGAGGCCAAAACAAAGUGUUGAACCAAGUCAGGUAUAAGAUUUACUGCAUCCAUAAGAUAAAAAUAAACCAGUUGCCGAGGAGUUAGAAUGUAAAGUCUAUUACUCAGGGCAGUGAUUUUUAAUGUCUUUUUUGUUCAGUUAUUAUAUUUUUAGUGCCCAGAACAGUGUCAAAUAAAAACUAGUGAGCAAGAUACAGUUUUUGAAUGAAUUACUAAGUAUUCUGUACAGUAGAAAUUGGUAUAGCAUUAUAAAUUAGCAAUACUUUAAUAAAAAAUAGAAGCUCUUGCUAUGGGUUAAGAAUCCGACUUCAGAGGCUCCAGUCUCUGUGGAGGUGCCAGGUCAAUCCCCAGCCAGGAUCCGGCAUUGCUGCAGCUGUGGCAUAAACUGCAGCUGUGGCUCUGAUUCAGUCCCUGGCUUGGAAACUUCUAUACGCCAUGGGUGUGACCAUAAAAAAUAAAUAAAAAUUACUUAAAAGAUAAAUAAUUUUUCUAGUCUUGGGCAUUAAAAGAUCUAUAAAAAGAGGGGGGAAUCAUGUAAUAUAGUAUGUAGACAUCCUCAUGAGAAAUAAAUGUUUUAUUCUCUAGAACUAUUUCCUUUUCAUGCUUCAGUGUGAAUUGAGGGCAUGAAAUGUAAUACAACAAAGUGAAUUUGAUGAUCAAUUCUGUAAAUUCUACCAUGUGUAGCUUUUUGAUUAUUUUGAGAUAAGGAUAAAAUGUGGACUAUUUUAAGACAGUGUUUUUUGAAAGCUAUUUCUCAAAAUGUUUGAUAAGAAAUGGGCAUCAGAGAGUCUAAAAUAACAUUCUUCAUCAAGAAAUUGAAGUGGAGUUCCCACUGUGGUGCAGCAGAAAUGAAUCCAACUAGUAACCAUGAGAUUGCAGGUUUGAUCCCUGGCUUUACUCAGUGGGUUAAGGAUCUGGCAUUGGUGUGAGCUGUGGUGUAGGUAACAGACACAGCUUGGACAGCAAGUUGCUACAGCUAUAGCUCCAGUUUGACCCCUAGCCUGGGAACUUCCAUAUGCCACAGGUGCAUCCCUAAAAAGCAAAAAAAAAGAAAAAGAAAAAAAAAGAGACUGAGGUGUACGUGCUCAUUGUUGCUGAUGAUGGAGAGCCAUGUGCUUUGCCAGUCAACUGUAAGAACAGGCAGUGCCAUUCUUAGGUAUUCUUAUUGCUGACAUUGAUUGGGUAGCUUACCUGGGCCAGGUGCUGGGCUAAGAGUUUCUUGGAAAGCCCCCUCACGCCCAAAAAUCUAAUGAAGUCAGUACUAUCUUUAGAUCCCCAUUUUGCAGGUGACAAAACAAGGCUUAGAGAAGCUAUUGAUGAAAAUUAUAGAAAUGGUAGCAGUGGUGUCAGAGGCAAGAUUUGACCAAGAGGUCAUUUUCUGUCUUGACCACUAUUGAUGCCUAUAUGAAAAUUAAGGAAUCUUUCUGAAAUAUGCCAGAAUGGAUGACCCUUCCUUUUCUUCCAAACUACAUAAACACUCUUGGCCAGUACUCUCUCUAAGCAGAGAUAUGAUUUCCUUAGAACCUAUUUAGGACCUUAAUCUAUCCUACAUUCCCUGUAGCAAUGAAGUAAGUAAUGUGAUAAUGUAGAAAUCAUCAUGAUCGCCCUAAAGAUGUCCCAGGAGUACUUUGUUAUUGAAUUUUUAAAUAAGUUUACUGUCAUAGACCAAAAGAAACUGAGCAGAAUUUUAGAAACAUACAAUUCUGUUGAUUUUCAAACAACCUAAGCAGAAGUUUAGUAUGAUUCAGUUCAUAACCCGGUUCCAAAAGGGCCAUUUUCCUGUGUCUUUUCCUUGAGUAAAUAAGGCACAAGAUGAUCAUUGUCUGCAGACAGUAUCACAGUGAGUUUCAUUUUUAUUUGAAUUUUCAUUUAUUGAUUUUUGUUUCUCUUCCACAUGAAUAAUGCAUCCUUUUCAGAAGGCAUGCAGAUCCGCAUUAUUUGGCACACUGAAAUAAAAAGUCCUUUCUUUUGAGCAAUAGCAAAUACAAAUUAUGUAGUCAAUGAGUUUUUUAAAUCAUUUAAAUAUGUAUUUACAUGCUAAACUGGGGCAUUCUUGAAGUUGUUUGUAUAGCAAGUGGCGUUUUAAAUUGUCCAAAGAUCUGUUCAUCAUAAUAAAAUAACUUCAAAUGAGGCUGUUGUGGUUCAUUUGGGGGAAAUAGCAUAUUUAAAUAUUGAUAUAAACAGCUUUCCCUGUAAUGACUAGGAGGCGGCCAUAACAGUUUGGGUAAACAGUGAAGGCCCUUAAAGGCUUUGUGCAGACUGACACCCUUGAGUAAUGCAUCAUAGCACUCUUCCCAAGCAUUCCUUGCUUUGUGUUCUUCUACACAAUCAAAAGAGAACCUAAAUAAUGUCCAAACUGUCCACUCCCAAUUCAUCUUUCCAAGAAUCACAAAUUGCCCGUGGGAGGGUUCCUGAAGUUGUGAAUUAAUGAAGGAAACUGGCAGUAGCCCAGAGGGGGGGCACUGGGCUGAGAGGGAGGGGAAGGAGCAGCACCCCUCCUACCCCAUCAGAGUGGGGAAAAGAUAGGGUGACUUCCUAACUAUGCCCUUGACUAUGGCACUGUGUUUGGCAGGAAUUUGUUUGAAAGGAAAGAAAUAGAGGACCUGCUUCUGAUGUAGGCCAAAAAAAAAAAAAAAAGGAUGAGCAGAAAUGAGAUGCAUAAACUAAGAAUGUAUUCAGCUUAGUGACCCAAAAAAUACUUAUUUGUGGGAGAAAGGAGCAAUCUCCUAGAACAUGGCAUUUCAGGAAGAGUCUGGUGGUCAUUUUCUUUGGGG